rnacentral:rRNA from 1 species
AGCGGCGGAUGGGUGAGUAACACGUGGGCAAUCUACCCUUUAGCUUGGGAUACCACUUGGAAACAGGUGCUAAUACCAAAUAAGAAGUAAGAGCGCAUGCUCAAGCUAUGAAAGGCGGCUUUCGAGCUGUCACUAAAGGAUGAGCCCGCGGUGCAUUAGCUAGUUGGUAAGGUAACGGCUUACCAAGGCAAUGAUGCAUAGCCGAGUUGAGAGACUGAUCGGCCACAUUGGGACUGAGACACGGCCCAAACUCCUACGGGAGGCAGCAGUAGGGAAUCUUCCACAAUGGACGCAAGUCUGAUGGAGCAACGCCGCGUGAGUGAAGAAGGUUUUCGGAUCGUAAAGCUCUGUUGUUGGUGAAGAAGGACAUGGGUAGUAACUGAUCUAUGUUUGACGGUAAUCAACCAGAAAGUCACGGCUAACUACGUGCCAGCAGCCGCGGUAAUACGUAGGUGGCAAGCGUUGUCCGGAUUUAUUGGGCGUAAAGCGAACGCAGGCGGGAGAACAAGUCAGCUGUGAAAGCCCUCGGCUUAACCGAGGAACGGCAACUGAAACUGUUUUUCUUGAGUGCAGAAGAGGAGAGUGGAACUCCAUGUGUAGCGGUGAAAUGCGUAGAUAUAUGGAAGAACACCAGUGG